rnacentral:rRNA from 1 species
AACGCUAGCGGCAUGCCUUACACAUGCAAGUCGAACGGCAGCACGGGGGCAACCCUGGUGGCGAGUGGCGAACGGGUGAGUAAUGCAUCGGAACGUGCCCAUCGAUGGGGGAUAACUGCGCGAAAGCGUUGCUAAUACCGCAUACGACCUACGGGUGAAAGCAGGGGACCGCAAGGCCUUGCGUCGAUGGAGCGGCCGAUGCCGGAUUAGCUAGUUGGUGAGGUAAAGGCUCACCAAGGCGACGAUCCGUAGCUGGUCUGAGAGGACGACCCAGCCACACUGGGACUGAGACACGGCCCAGACUCCUACGGGAGGCAGCAGUGGGGAAUCUUGGACAAUGGGCGAAAGCCUGAUCCAGCAAUGCCGCGUGUGGGAAGAAGGCCCUCGGGUUGUAAACCACUUUUGGCGGGAAAGAAAUGGUCUGUGCUAAUACCACGGAUUGAUGACGGUACCCGCAGAAUAAGCACCGGCUAACUACGUG